GUCCACGCCCUAAACGAUGAGAACUAGAUGUCGGGAGGGAUUGCCUUCCGGUGUCGUAGCUAACGCGUUAAGUUCUCCGCCUGGGAAGUACGGCCGCAAGGUUGAAACUCAAAGGAAUUGACGGGACCCGCACAAGCGGUGGAGCAUGUGGUUUAAUUCGAUGCAACGCGAAGAACCUUACCUGGUCUUGACAUCCCAGGAAUCCUGCAGAAAUGCGGGAGUGCCUUCGGGAACCUGGAGACAGGUGCUGCAUGGCUGUCGU
rnacentral:rRNA from 1 species